AAAUAAGGAAAAUAUGUCUGUCUGAAGCAAUCAAAACAGGAGAGAUGGUAAGAAAUAGUCUUCAAAAAGGUCCAGUGUCAAUACAAUAUGAAGAUGUGGCAUUUGAGAGGGUUUUCUUUUAAAAUGGAGGAACACCAUGAAGAAUGGAACAGAAGAACAGGAUCAAAGCCUGGAGAGUUGCCAGUUCCUUGCUGUAGGAUUGUAAUAGAACAGGCCAAGGAAGGUGACAACUUCAAGGCAUCGUUAAAAAGAGUCAAGAUGGUCAUGUGGGUAAGAUGUGGACUGGGAGCUGGCACCACCCCCAGCCCCGGCCUGACCCGACCCCAAGCCAACCCCUUCCCCAAAGUCCCUGUCCCAACUCCACUCCCUCCCUGCUCCUAAUGGACUCCUUCCCCAAAUCCCCGGUCCUUCCCCAAGCACACCACAUUCC
rnacentral:lncRNA from 1 species